AUUGAACGCUGGCGGCAGGCCUAACACAUGCAAGUCGAAUGGUAACAGGAAACAGCUUGCUGUUUCGCUGACGAGUGGCGGACGGGUGAGUAAUGUCUGGGAAACUGCCUGAUGGAGGGGGAUAACUACUGGAAACGGUAGCUAAUACCGCAUAACGUCGCAAGACCAAAGAGGGGGACCUUCGGGCCUCUUGCCAUCAGAUGUGCCCAGAUGGGAUUAGCUAGUAGGUGGGGUAACGGCUCACCUAGGCGACGAUCCCUAGCUGGUCUGAGAGGAUGACCAGCCACACUGGAACUGAGACACGGCCCCGACUCCUACGGGGGGCAGCAGUGGGGAAUAUUGCACAAUGGGGGCAAGCCUGAUGCAGCCAUGCCGCGUGUAUGAAGAAGGCCUUCGGGUUGUAAAGUACUUUCAGCGGGGAGGAAGGGAGUAAAGUUAAUACCUUUGCUCAUUGACGUUACCCGCAGAAGAAGCCCCGGCUAACUCCGUG
rnacentral:rRNA from 1 species